rnacentral:rRNA from 1 species
GACGAACGCUGGCGGCGUGCUUAACACAUGCAAGUCGAACGGUGAAGGGGCCUGCUUUUGUGGGCCCUGGAUGAGUGGCGAACGGGUGAGUAACACGUGAGUAACCUGCCCCCUUCUUCUGGAUAACCGCAUGAAAGUGUGGCUAAUACGGGAUAUUCUGGGUCUGUCGCAUGAUGGUCUGGGAAAGAUUGCGCCUUUGGGUGUUUUUGGUGGGGGAUGGGCUCGCGGCCUAUCAGCUUGUUGGUGGGGUGAUGGCCUACCAAGGCGGUGACGGGUAGCCGGCCUGAGAGGGUGGACGGUCACACUGGGACUGAGACACGGCCCAGACUCCUACGGGAGGCAGCAGUGGGGAAUAUUGCACAAGGGGCGCAAGCCUGAUGCAGCGACGCCGCGUGAGGGAUGGAGGCCUUCGGGUUGUAAACCUCUUUCGCCAGUGAAGCAGGCCUGCUCCUUGUGGGUGGGUUGACGGUAGCUGGAUAAGAAGCGCCGGCUAACUACGUG